GGCGGUAACAUUUCUAGCUUGCUAGAAGAUGACGAGCGGCGGACGGGUGAGUAACGCGUAGAAAUCUACCUAGUAGUGGGGGAUAGCCCAGAGAAAUUUGGAUUAAUACCGCAUACGCCCUACGGGGGAAANCGGGGGAUCUUCGGACCUCGUGCUAUUAGAUGAGUCUGCGUCGGAUUAGCUUGUUGGUGAGGUAAUGGCUCACCAAGGCGACGAUCCGUAGCUGGUCUGAGAGGAUGACCAGCCACACUGGAACUGAGACACGGUCCAGACUCCUACGGGAGGCAGCAGUGGGGAAUAUUGCACAAUGGGCGCAAGCCUGAUGCAGCCAUGCCGCGUGUGUGAAGAAGGCCUUAGGGUUGUAAAGCACUUUCAGCAGUGAGGAAAGGGGUGUCGUUAAUAGCGCCAUCCUGUGACGUUAACUGCAGAAGAAGGACCGGCUAACUCCGUG
rnacentral:rRNA from 1 species